UACGGAGGGGGCUAGCGUUGUUCGGAAUUACUGGGCGUAAAGCGCACGUAGGCGGCUUUGUAAGUUAGAGGUGAAAGCCCGGGGCUCAACUCCGGAACUGCCUUUAAGACUGCAUCGCUUGAAUCAUGGAGAGGUCAGUGGAAUUCCGAGUGUAGAGGUGAAAUUCGUAGAUAUUCGGAAGAACACCAGUGGCGAAGGCGACUGACUGGACAUGUAUUGA
rnacentral:rRNA from 1 species